AACGAACGCUGGCGGCAUGCCUAACACAUGCAAGUCGAACGAGAUCUUCGGGUCUAGUGGCGCACGGGUGCGUAACGCGUGGGAAUCUGCCCUUUGGUUCGGAAUAACAGUUGGAAACGACUGCUAAUACCGGAUGAUGACGAAAGUUCAAAGAUUUAUCGCCAGAGGAUGAGCCCGCGUAGGAUUAGCUAGUUGGUGGGGUAAAGGCGCACCAAGGCGACGAUCCUUAGCUGGUCUGAGAGGAUGAUCAGCCACACUGGGACUGAGACACGGCCCAGACUCCUACGGGAGGCAGCAGUGGGGAAUAUUGGACAAUGGGCGAAAGCCUGAUCCAGCAAUGCCGCGUGAGGGAUGAAGGCCUUAGGGUUGUAAAGCUCUUUUACCCGGGAUGAUAAUGACAGUACCGGGAGAAUAAGCUCCGGCUAACUCCGUGCCAGCCGCCGCCGUAA
rnacentral:rRNA from 1 species